AAUAGACAGUGAAAUAACCUUCGUCUCUGUCAUGAAUUUCUACACUCUCGCUGGUAUAUGAGUGCAAAAACCUCUUCUUUUCUCUCUCUAAAUUUUGCAAAUAACACGCGCACUUUCUCUCUCUUGAUCUCGUCGUUCGAGUGCGUGUUUCUGGACUCCCUCACUCUUUUGUAGAUCUCACACUCGGAUCUCUAGGGUUUCCCUGUUGUAAACACCGAAUCUGUUAAAAUGCCGCUUAGACUAGAAAUCAAGAGGAAACUUGCGCAACGAUCAGAAAGAGUAAAAUCUGUGGAUCUACAUCCAACAGAGCCAUGGAUAUUGGCAAGUUUAUAUUCAGGCACUCUUUGCAUUUGGAACUAUCAGACUCAGGCAAUGGUUAAGUCUUUUGAGGUUACGGAACUGCCAGUUAGGUCCGCGAAGUUUAUAGCACGAAAGCAGUGGGUUGUGGCUGGUGCUGAUGACAUGUUCAUUCGCGUGUACAAUUACAAUACAAUGGAUAAGGUCAAAGUGUUUGAGGCCCAUACAGAUUAUAUUAGGUGUGUGGCUGUUCAUCCCACUCUUCCCUAUGUGCUGUCAUCCUCUGAUGACAUGCUAAUAAAGCUCUGGGACUGGGAAAAGGGUUGGUCAUGCAUUCAAAUAUUCGAGGGUCAUUCCCAUUAUGUGAUGCAAGUGACAUUUAAUCCAAAAGAUACCAAUACUUUUGCCAGUGCAUCUCUCGAUCGCUCUAUUAAGAUUUGGAGUCUUAGUUCACCCGAUCCAAACUUUACACUGGAUGCUCACCUCAAAGGAGUCAAUUGUGUAGAUUAUUUCACCGGCGGUGAUAAACCUUAUUUAAUCACUGGCUCUGAUGAUCACACUGCUAAGGUGUGGGAUUACCAGACAAAGAGCUGUAUCCAGACAUUAGAAGGCCACACGCACAAUGUUUCUGCAGUUUGCUUUCAUCCUGAACUUCCCAUUAUAAUAACAGGUUCUGAGGAUGGUACAGUCCGCAUUUGGCAUUCCACCACUUAUAGACUUGAAAACACAUUGAAUUAUGGUCUGGAAAGAGUUUGGGCAGUUGGCUACAUGAAAGGUUCGAGAAGGGUCGUAAUUGGUUAUGAUGAAGGAACCAUCAUGGUAAAGCUUGGUCGGGAGGUGCCUGUUGCUAGUAUGGAUAACAGUGGGAAAAUCAUUUGGGCCAAGCAUAACGAAAUACAGACUGUUAACAUCAAGAGUGUCGGAGCAGAUUAUGAGGUUGCUGAUGGGGAAAGAUUGCCUUUGGCAGUUAAGGAAUUGGGAACCUGCGACCUUUACCCACAGAGCUUAAAGCAUAACCCUAAUGGUAGGUUCGUUGUUGUAUGUGGAGAUGGUGAAUACAUUAUAUAUACAGCUUUGGCAUGGAGAAACAGAUCAUUUGGCUCAGCCUUGGAAUUUGUUUGGUCAACGGAAGGAGAAUAUGCUGUUAGAGAAAGUACAUCAAAGAUUAAGAUAUUUAGUAAAAAUUUCCUGGAGAAGAAAAGCAUCCGGCCUACAUUUUCAGCAGAGCAUAUCUAUGGCGGCACUUUACUUGCAAUGUGCUCAAAUGAUUUUAUUUGUUUCUACGAUUGGGCUGAAUGCAGGUUGAUACGACGAAUUGAUGUCAAUGUUAAAAAUCUUUACUGGGCCGACAGUGGUGAUUUGGUAGCCAUUGCCAGUGAUGCAUCAUUCUACAUACUUAAGUAUAAUCGUGAUGUAGUUUCUGCUCAUCUAGAUAGCGGGAAAUCAGUAGAUGAACAAGGAGUAGAAGAUGCUUUUGAGCUUCUUUAUGAAAUUAAUGAACGAGUGCGAACUGGAAUUUGGGUUGGGGAUUGUUUCAUUUACAACAACUCUUCAUGGAGACUCAACUACUGCGUAGGUGGUGAGGUGAACACAAUGUUUCAUUUAGACCGACCAAUGUACCUGCUUGGGUAUCUUGCAAAUCAGAGUCGUGUUUAUCUCAUCGAUAAAGAAUUUAAUGUUAUGGGAUACACAUUGCUACUCAGCUUGAUUGAGUACAAGACUCUUGUAAUGCGUGGUGAUCUGGAAAGGGCGAAUGAGGUCUUACCAUCAAUUCCUAAGGAUCAUCUUAACAGUGUGGCUCAUUUCCUGGAGUCACGAGGUAUGGUAGAAGAUGCACUGGAAGUUGCUACAGAUCCUGACUACAGGUUUGAAUUAGCCGUACAACUAGGCAAACUAGAGAUUGCGAAGGAAAUUGCCACAGUAGCACAGAGUGAGUCAAAGUGGAAGCAAUUGGGUGAAUUAGCCAUGUCUACUGGAAUGUUAGAGAUGGCUGAGGACUGCUUGAAGCAAGCAAAUGACUUGAGCGGUUUAUUGCUACUCUAUUCUUCUCUAGGCGAUGCUGAAGGAAUUUCCAAACUUGCAUCUCUUGCCAAGGAGCAUGGCAAGAACAACGUUGCAUUCCUUUGUUUAUUUAUGUUGGGUAAAUUGGAGGACUGCCUUCAGCUUCUGGUUGAGAGCAAUCGGAUACCUGAAGCUGCACUGAUGGCUCGGUCUUACCUUCCAAGCAAGGUGUCGGAAAUUGUUGCUCUUUGGAGAAAGGAUCUCAAUAAGAUUAAUCCAAAAGCUGCAGAAUCUCUUGCUGAUCCAGAAGAAUAUCCUAAUAUGUUUGAUGAUUGGCAAAUCGCUCUCGCUGUUGAAGGCAAAGCUGCUGAGACAAGGGGCAAGUAUCCUCCAGCAGCUGAAUACGUGCAGCAUGCUGAUAGAUCAACCGCAAGUCUAGUAGAAACUUUUAGAAACAUGCAAAUGGAAGAAGAGCUAGAUAACGGAGGCUUGGACUAUGAGGAUGCAGAGCAAAAUGGAGAUGAAUCACAAGAUAGGCCAGAGCAAGUAGUGGGACAUGACGAUGGCCAAGAAGAGGCUGUUGUGGUGGAUGCUGACUCAACAGAUGGUGCUAUACUCGUGAAUGGCAAUGAGGCUGAGGAAGAGUGGGGUACGAAUAAUGAAGGAAAACCGUCAGCCUAAAAGCAAUUGGUUGGGCCGGUGUGAAAUUCCUAGUUUUGUUGCUGUGCUUACACCACGUCACUGAGACCACUCAAGACAGACGGUUCCAGCUGUGUAUGAUUGCUCUCAUGUUCCUAUGCCAGGUAUUCUAGAGGUUGCCUGGAAGAGGUGAUCGGAGGACCGGGUGUCUUUCUGCCAGUGGUGUGAUAAGCACGAUGAAUUUUGUUAUUGGGCGCAUACUACAGUAGACUUUGGAGUUGCAUUUAUUAGUUUAGCUGCUGCAUGAUUUUGUUAUAUCUUAUAUGCCGAUUUUUCUUGCAAUGACAUUUUCAUGUGCCAUUGUGAAUUGUAGAUACAUAAUAGUGUUAUAGAAAUCAACCCAUCAAUAUUAUAUGCAGAAUACUCCUCCA